UGUAAGCGUAUACCAAAGUUGUUGCAGUUAAAACGCUCGUAGUCGGAAUUUGGCAGUUCCGGAAGUGUGCACGUCGUGUGCGCACUUUGCGGGGACUGCUUUUGUGGUCUUGCGUAGGAUGAGGCACUUUCAUUAGUGAACGUCCUCACGCAACCACUCUUUACUGUGAGAAAAUCAGAGUGCUCAAAGCAGGCAUUUGCCGUGAAUGUAUUAGCAUGGAAUAAUAGAAUAGGACUCGGUUCUAUUUUGUUGGUUUGUUGGGACUGAGUAAUGAUUAAGAGGGACAGUUGGGGGCAUCUGUAUUCCGGCGCUAGAGGUGAAAUUCUUAGAUUGCCGGAAGACAAACUGCUGCGAAAGCGUCUGCCAAGGAUGUUUUCAUUGA
rnacentral:rRNA from 1 species